rnacentral:rRNA from 1 species
UACGAGGGGGGCAAGCGUUGUUCGGAAUUAUUGGGCGUAAAGGGCGCGUAGGCGGUGCGGUAAGUCACCUGUGAAAUCUCUGGGCUCAACUCAGAGUCUGCAGGCGAAACUGCCGUGCUGGAGUAUGGGAGAGGUGCGUGGAAUUCUCGGUGUAGCGGUGAAAUGCGUAGAUAUCGAGAGGAACACCUGCGGCGAAGGCGGGUUGCUGGGCUGAUACUGACGCUGAGGCGCGAAAGCUAGGGGAGCGAACGGG